UACGGGGGGAGCAAGCGUUGUUCGGAUUUACUGGGCGUAAAGAGCGCGCAGGCGGUCGUUCAAGUCGCGUGUGAAAGCCCCCGGCUCAACUGGGGAGGGUCACGCGAUACUGAUCGACUCGAAGGCAGGAGAGGGAAGUGGAAUUCCCGGUGUAGUGGUGAAAUGCGUAGAUAUCGGGAGGAACACCAGUGGCGAAGGCGGCUUCCUGGCCUGUUCUUGACGCUGAGGCGCGAAAGCUAGGGGAGCAAACGGG
rnacentral:rRNA from 1 species